UGAAGAGUUACCACUGUUGGAAGCCUGAGCCUCACCAUACUAUGUACCCUAGGCUCUAAGCCAGAGACUGUAGUAGGUGGUAGGUGCUAUAGAAAAGAGGCUCUGGCUCUGUCUUCCUCCAGCUGAGCCCAACUAGUCCUAUUGCUCCCUCUCACCUUGCUCACUCCAAUGGCUGGCAUGUGGUCAGAAGGCUCCCCGGGGUCUUACUGAGGUGCAAGGCAGGCAGGGCUGGGAUGACUGGUGCAAAGGACAAGCAGAGGCUUCAUUCCUGGCUCCCACUGCACCAAGGCUUCAGCAAUGUUCAGCAGACACAAUAAUUCCCACAUGUGCCACCCAUGACCUCUCCAGUCCUAACAGUCCUGCACCAGGCACUCAAAACUGACUGGAGAAGUAGCACUUUGGGAAGAUGGCCACUUCCUUCUCAAAACAGCUUUCAGGCUGCAGAUGUCAUCAAAGGUCCACUGUGUGCCAGCCACCAGAUGCAAGGGAGAUAGUCCCCCUUCCCUUCUCCUUCCUUUUCCUCUCCCUUCUUCCAUCCCUCCCUUCUCUCUAGAGCUUAAGUUCUGAUGGACAAAGAUAGACAAUGAACAAAUGAAGAGGGACUUGAAUCCACAAGCAGAUGUUAGACUUCAACACCAGGAAGAAACUAAGGGAAUGAACACAGAAACCUACAAUGAACGACACAAAAGACAUUCAGAGAGUGACUUAGGAGCACUUAGACCUCAGUGGGAUGCCUUCCUCAGACUCCUCCCCUCAGGGUUCAGGGAGCUCCGUGGAAGAGGACGAUCAGAGCCAGAGGGGACAGAUGUCUCAUGACUGGAAGGAAACAGUGUCCUCCAGACACAACAAGAUUGACGCACAUAUGAACUCAGACACUGUAGCAGCAUGCACAAUGCCUGUACAGGUUCAAGCCAGAUGGAUUCUGUUCCUGCGAGGAGGAAGUGGGCACAAGUUCCAUCCCUGACCAAGAAGUUAUCCAACCUCAAUCGAUAACUGCUUGCAAAGGAAAACUUAGAUGUUUCCAAUGGAGUUUCACUGGGAUUAUAAACCAACCACACUUCAGGGCAGGCCCCCUGCCCAUCAGUAGAUGGCUAAUACUAAAUGAAUCUAACGGUAUUUUUGUAGACUUUUGAUCUUACAAUGCUUUGUUUGAGUGUAUGUGUGUGUGUAUGUGUGUGUGUGUUACUGGUCUUUUACUAGUGUGUUAUGGUUUUUGAUUUUAUGGUUUUAUAUAUAUGUAUGUUUCUUGUGAUUUUUCUUUUAAAAUGUUAUUCUCUUCUCUUUUUUGCCUGUUUGUUUUUUAAACAAGAGAAAGAAAUCAUGUAGAUGGGUGGAUGGGGAGGCAGAGGGGAGCUGGGAGGAGCUGGCGGA
rnacentral:lncRNA from 1 species